GGUGGAGCUCAGUGGUAGAACACUUGUCUAGCAUGCACAAGGCCCUGGGUUUGAUCCCCAGCACUG
rnacentral:tRNA from 1 species